rnacentral:tRNA from 1 species
GGAGUGGUGAAAUUGGUAGACGCAGGGGACUCAAAAUCCCCCGCCGCAAGGCGUGUCGGUUCGAGUCCGACCCCGGGCACCA